CGUAGACGUACGGAUUAAAAUCCGUUGGCUUUUUAGACCGUGAGGGUUCAAGUCCCUCUACCCCCA
rnacentral:tRNA from 1 species